rnacentral:lncRNA from 1 species
UAAUUCUAGUCUGUGGCGCAGAGGUAUUGCUGCUUGUUUGUGGAUUUAUUUUUCAAAGAGCGUGUUAUUUAUUCAGUUAUGAUAGAAAUACAUGCUUGUUGUGAAUAAUUAAUUCACUAUCAGGUAAAGUUAAAGUUUCCUAAAAUUCUACUUCCCAGAGAAAGCCAGUGUUAAGAGCAUGCUCUGUGUCCUUUCACCCUUUCUCUGCAGGCCUCAGGGCCUUUGCCCCCUUCAGCCUUCUGCUCCAGC